AUGCAUUGAAGUCUCUCCUUCACAAUUAGGAUUCUGAAUGCACAGAUGAAGGUGGAGUGGUCCCUCAGCAAAUAUAUGAUGAAUUGCUCCAAGGGUACUAUCAAUUAAAGAAAAAAAAACAACAACUGUCAGUGGAUCUCAGAGAUCUUCAACAGAAAUAUGCAGAAUUGGAAAAAGUAAAAAAAGAAAUACAAAUUGAGCGUGACCGGUACAAAAGCUACCUACGCUCCAUCCAGGGCAACGUCUGUACACUGCUCUAAGGGGAGGUGUUAGAGGUAUCGGGCAGUGCACCUUUUCAUCCCAGCACCUCACAGGCCAGUCAGGAAACAAUCUUUCCCUGCCCAGAUGGAAAGAUCCAUAUCGGGGGUGGAGCAUACAUAUCAGCAGGGAUCUGGAGCUGGAUCAGAGGAGCCAAAAAUGACUCCCGGUUCUGCAAGGACCUUGCUGUAGCCAUCUGGGAGUCAGAGGUCCUGCGGAACUGAUCCACUGAGAGGAAGGUAUGCAACAGGCUCAAAGGCCAAGGAGCUGUUGCCAAACCUCCCCUUACGCCUGAAAAAUAUCAAGCAGUUAAAGACUCAUUCAAGAGAUGGCUGCAGGAAAAAGGUGUCCCGGAACCAGAGGUGGCUUUUCGCGUUGCUGCAGUAAAAUUGGGAAGCA